UACGGAGGAUGCGAGCGUUAUCCGGAUUUAUUGGGUUUAAAGGGUGCGUAGGCGGAUUUUUAAGUCAGCGGUAAAAUGUCCGGGCUCAACCCCGGCCCGCCGUUGAAACUGGUUUUCUAGAGUUGGAGAGAAGUAUGCGGAAUUCGUGGUGUAGCGGUGAAAUGCAUAGAUAUCACGAAGAACUCCGAUUGCGAAGGCAGCAUACCGGCUCCAUACUGACGCUGAGGCACGAAAGCGUGGGGAUCGAACAGG
rnacentral:rRNA from 1 species